rnacentral:rRNA from 1 species
UACAGAGGGUGCAAGCGUUUGUUCGGAAUUAUUGGGCGUAAAGCGCGUGUAGGCGGCCGUGCAAGUCGGGUGUGAAAGCCCUCGGCUCAACCGAGGAAGUGCGCCCGAAACUGCAUGGCUUGAGUACCGGAGAGGAUGGCGGAAUUCCCCAAGUAGAGGUGAAAUUCGUAGAUAUGGGGAGGAACACCGGUGGCGAAGGCGGCCAUCUGGACGGAUACUGACGCUGAGACGCGAAAGCGUGGGGAGCAACAGG